CCUACGGGUGGCAGCAGUGAGGAAUAUUGGUCAAUGGGCGUACGCCUGAACCAGCCAAGUCGCGUGAGGGAAUAAUGCCCUAUGGGUUGUAAACCUCUUUUGCCGGGGAGCAACGGCGGCUACGUGUAGCGGGACUGAGAGUACCUGGAGAAAAAGCAUCGGCUAACUCCGUGCCAGCAGCCGCGGUAAUACGGAGGAUGCGAGCGUUAUCCGGAUUUAUUGGGUUUAAAGGGUGCGUAGGCGGGGGGUUAAGUCAGCGGUUAAAUUUCGCGGGUCAACGGGGUGAAGUGCCAUUGAUACUGGGGGGCUGGAAGGGGGGAGACGAAGGAGGAAUGCGUGGUGUAGCGGUGAAAUGCAUAGAUAUCACACAGAACACCGAUUGCGAAGGCAUCUCAC
rnacentral:rRNA from 1 species